GGGGGUGCCGCCUCCUGCCCCUGGACUCUGCAGUCCUCCCGAGGGGCCACAUGGGCCUCUAAGGAGCUGCUGGUAGCGUGCACUUUGGGUUUAACUCCCUCCUGCCUCAAAUUGUGGCCUCUUCCCGAGGAGGAAGGCACUGGCCUGUGUCCUCAUCAAUUCUUCCCACUCUGUUCACUGUGGGCAUUAUGUUUGUGUAAAGAGAUAGCAUUGUGAUGCAAUGUUCCAUUUUGGAUUCAUAGUGCUCCAUACAUUUUAUAUGUCUUUUGGGCAUUCAUACAGAUUCUUUGGCCACGUGGCCAUAUAAAACCUUCCCCCUUUUCACGGAGCAGCCCCUCCUGGUUCCACCUGCGUGGUGCUGCUCUUCUUCCUGCAUCCUCCACGCUGACCCACGUGCUGACCAGCGCCACCACUCAUAAGGAACAGGAAAGACCCUCAGGACUGGGGGCAGCACCCUGUGCCUCUGGGAUUCCAGUGGGUACUGUGGGCCGGGCUCUGCAGAGCAAGAUCAGCUGGGGAAGGCUCCUCCAGUCCUGGGUCCCAGGAGCCUGCGGUGGCUGAUGUGCCACAACUCCAUCCAUGACCCCGUGCCUGAGACCCCUGAAGGAAA
rnacentral:lncRNA from 1 species